rnacentral:tRNA from 1 species
AAAAGUUUAGUUAAUACAUAACAUUAAUUUGUCAAAUUAAAAUUAUCGUCUAGAUAGCUUUUA